rnacentral:rRNA from 1 species
UACGGAGGGGGCAAGCGUUGUUCGGAAUUACUGGGCGUAAAGCGCGUGUAGGCGGCUUGUUAUGCCAGGGGUGAAAGCCCUCGGCCUAACCGAGGAAGUGCGCCUAAAACUGCCAAGCUUGAGUACGUGAGAGGAUGGCGGAAUUCCCAGUGUAGAGGUGAAAUUCGUAGAUAUUGGGAAGAACACCGGUGGCGAAGGCGGUUCUCUGGAUCGAUACUGACGCUAAGGCGCGAAAGCGUGGGGAGCAAACAGG